rnacentral:sRNA from 1 species
AAGAAAGAUCAAAUGAGUACUCAUCCUUCCAUAUGUCAAGAGAGGAUGCAGAGUAUGAUUCAGGCACUGAAAAUUCAACCACUGAAGAUGAGGAUUUCUU